rnacentral:rRNA from 1 species
GCACAAGCGGUGGAGCAUGUGGAUUAAUUCGAUGCAACGCGAAGAACCUUACCUGGGUUUGACAUGCACAGGACGCCGGCAGAGAUGUCGGUUCCCUUGUGGCCUGUGUGCAGGUGGUGCAUGGCUGUCGUCAGCUCGUGUCGUGAGAUGUUGGGUUAAGUCCCGCAACGAGCGCAACCCUUGUCUCAUGUUGCCAGCACGUAAUGGUGGGGACUCGUGAGAGACUGCCGGGGUCAACUCGGAGGAAGGUGGGGAUGACGUCAAGUCAUCAUGCCCCUUAUGUCCAGGGCUUCACACAUGCUACAAUGGCCGGUACAAAGGGCUGCGAUGCCGUGAGGUGGAGCGAAUCCUUUCAAAGCCGGUCUCAGUUCGGAUCGGGGUCUGCAACUCGACCCCGUGAAGUCGGAGUCGCUAGUAAUCGCAGAUCAGCAACGCUGCGGUGAAUACGUUCCCGGGC